rnacentral:rRNA from 1 species
GACAGAGGAUGCAAGCGUUAUCCGGAAUGAUUGGGCGUAAAGCGUCUGUAGGUGGCUUUUUAAGUCCGCCGUCAAAUCCCAGGGCUCAACCCUGGACAGGCGGUGGAAACUACCAAGCUGGAGUACGGUAGGGGCAGAGGGAAUUUCCGGUGGAGCGGUGAAAUGCGUAGAGAUCGGAAAGAACACCAACGGCGAAAGCAGCUCGCUGGGACGGUACUGACGCUGAGACGCGAAAGCGUGGGGAGCAAACAGG